UGCCGCAAAAUCGGCACACGGGAUUGGCGUCCCGGCUAACUACUCAACGCAUAGCCGCGUUAGCGGUUUUUUU
rnacentral:sRNA from 2 species